rnacentral:lncRNA from 1 species
GUUCUAGGUUACCAUGUGAAUGUUGUGAAGGCUCUAGUUCAUGAGGGUCACUUUUGUAUGAUUUUUCAUGGGGUCUACGAGCAUCUAAUUCAUGAGCUUGGGAUUCAAGUAGUUCAUCUUCUAUCUGAAGAUACUCUAAUUGAGUAAGUUUAUGGGAAGCUGUUAAAUCCUGAAGAAUUAAGUUCUCUCUCUUUUUCUCAGAUUCUUGAGAUGGUGGUUGGUCUAUUGAUUUUUGAUGGCUUAUUUCAACUGUUGGUUCAGAAAAGUUUGAAUCUUCUUCAGAUAUAACUGAAGGAAUGGUUGUUCCUAAAGGAUAAAGAUCAUCUACAUUAUUUUUGUUUAUAUAUUUUAUAAUUUGGAUAUCUUCCGAAUCAAUGUCUUGAAUAUCAUUUUUUAUUUCAGAAGACUGGAGAUAUGCUUUAGAUUUUGGUUCAGGAGAAUUAAGUGAUUGAUUGAGGGGUUCUGAGAGGGUAUUCUUAA